GACGAACGCUGGCGGCGUGCCUAACACAUGCAAGUCGAGCGAAUGAAAUUCCUUCGGGAACGGAUUUAGCGGCGGACGGGUGAGUAACACGUGGGCAACCUGCCUCAUAGAGGGGAAUAGCCUUCCGAAAGGGAGAUUAAUACCGCAUAAGAUUGUAGUACCGCAUGGUACAGCAAUUAAAGGAGCAAUCCGCUAUGAGAUGGGCCCGCGGCGCAUUAGCUAGUUGGUGAGGUAACGGCUCACCAAGGCGACGAUGCGUAGCCGACCUGAGAGGGUGAUCGGCCACAUUGGGACUGAGACACGGCCCAGACUCCUACGGGAGGCAGCAGUGGGGAAUAUUGCACAAUGGGGGAAACCCUGAUGCAGCAACGCCGCGUGAGUGAUGACGGCCU
rnacentral:rRNA from 1 species